rnacentral:rRNA from 1 species
UGGGGAAUUUUGCACAAUGGAGGAAACUCUGAUGCAGCGACGCCGCGUGAGUGAUGAAGAUCUUCGGAUUGUAAAACUCUGUCCUUAGUGAAGAUAAUGACAGUAACUAAGAAGCAAGCCCUGGCUAAAUACGUGCCAGCAGCCGCGGUAAUACGUAUGGGGCAAGCGUUGUCCGGAAUUAUUGGGCGUAAAGGGUACGUAGGCGGUUUAAUAAGUCCUAAUUAAAAGGCUAUGGCUCAACCAUAGUAUGGUUAGGAAACUGUUGAACUUGAGUAGAUGAGGGGAAAGUGGAAUUCCAGGUGUAGCGGUGAAAUGCGUAGAUAUAUGGAGGAACACCAAUGGCGAAGGCAACUUUCUGGAAUCAAACUGACGCUGAGGUACGAAGGCGUGGGGAGCAAACAGG